rnacentral:rRNA from 1 species
AACGAACGCUGGCGGCAGGCCUAACACAUGCAAGUCGAGCGGGGACUUCGGUCCUAGCGGCGGACGGGUGAGUAACGCGUGGGAACGUGCCCUUUGCUUCGGAAUAGCCCCUGGAAACGGGGAGUAAUACCGGAUGUGCCCUACGGGGGAAAGAAUUUCGGCAAAGGAUCGGCCCGCGUUGGAUUAGGUAGUUGGUGGGGUAAUGGCCUACCAAGCCGACGAUCCAUAGCUGGUUUGAGAGGAUGAUCAGCCACACUGGGACUGAGACACGGCCCAGACUCCUACGGGAGGCAGCAGUGGGGAAUUUUAGACAAUGGGCGCAAGCCUGUUCUAGCCAUGCCGCGUGAGCGAUGAAGGCCUUAGGGUUGUAAAGCUCUUUCGUGGGGGAAGAUAAUGACGGUACCCCAAGAAGAAGCCCCGGCUAACUCCGUGCCAGCAGCCGCCGUAAAAC